rnacentral:rRNA from 1 species
CAAAGGUAGCAUAAUCAUUAGGGGUUUAAUUGGAACCUGGAAUGAAGGGUCGGACAAAGGAAAAACUGUCUUUAUGAUAUAAAUUGAAAUUUACUUUUAAGUGAAAAGGCUUAAAUAAAUCAAAGGGACGAUAAGACCCUAUAAAGCUUUAUAAAUAAUUUAAAUUUAAUCGAUUUAUAAUCAUAAGGAUUAAAUUUAGUUAUUUUAUUUUAUUGGGGAGAUAUGAGUAUAAGUAUUGUUAACUGCUUAAAAAAGAUACUAUUAUAAUAGAGUUGUUAAAUUAAUGAUCCUUUUUAAAGAUUAAAAGAUUAAGUUACUUUAGGGAUAACAGCGUUAUUUCUUUUGAGAGUUCAUAUUGAAAAAGAAGAUUGCGACCUCGAUGUUGAAUUAAAAUAUCUAUAUAAUGCAGCCGUUAUAAGAGAGGGUCUGUUCGACCUUUAAAUUUUUACAUGAUUUGAGUUC